rnacentral:piRNA from 1 species
UAGAAACGUAUAGACAAGCUAACUCUACAGU